CCCUUAGAUGUUCUGGGCUGCACGCGCGCUACACUGAUGCACUCAACGAGUUUACGACCUUGCCCGAUAGGGUUGGAUAAUCUUUUUAAAAUGCAUCGUGAUGGGGAUAGAUUAUUGCAAUUAUUAAUCUUCAACGAGGAAUUCCUAGUAAGCGCGAGUCAUCAGCUCGUGCUGAUUACGUCCCUGCCCUUUGUACACACCGCCCGUCGCUCCUACCGAUUGAGUGCUCAGGUGAAUAAUUCGGACUGCAGCAAUGUUUGGAUCCCGAACGUUGCAGCGGAAAGUUUAGUGAACCUUAUCACUUAGAGGAAGGAGAAGUCGUAACA
rnacentral:rRNA from 1 species